UUCACUUUCGACUCCCUCACAAUCAUGAAGAAUAGAAUCCGUUUCGCUCUCUAGCAAAAGGAAUACGAUUCGUUUUUAUCGAGUUUUUGUAAUCCAGUGAUGAACAAAAACGAACUGGAGAAAGGCACAUGAUGCUCCGAGAAGAGGAAGAACAUGACGCUUAGCCUUCCAUCUGCAUUCACAUCAGAAAAUACGAUUAGCGCGUGGAUCGAUUCGGAGGAGGAUGAUCGGAAUCGGAGGAAUGCGGCAUCUCUGGCGUGCCAUCGCCAGGUUCGAAAGCGAUUCUGGAAGAUAAGGUACGAGUUUCUUGUUCGCCAUUUGCAUUACUAGUUCCUACAUCAUGAUUGUCUGGUUGUUGAGGAAGUGAAUGAAUGUUGGAGUCAGUUCAAUACCUAAAGCGGACUAAAUAUCAAAAUAGGUAGAAAUUUAUGUGCGGGAAAAUUACUCGCGUUUCGGUUUCUUCCAAAGUAAACUGCCGCUCUUGCCAAGAACAUUUAGCAACAUUUGAACUUCAAAUUAAGUGAAAUUAUCUAGGAUGUGAAUUUUACGAAAUGGUCGAGUAGAGCCUUAGCACAUAACUAAAAAGAUAGAAACACUACAAAUUUAACUAAUUAUUUAUUUCAAAUCUUUUAGAACAAAGAGUGAAGAAAUUUUUUCAAAAAUCUAAUUUCUCAUCAACACACGAACAAAAAGCGGGGUAAGAUAUUAAGUUACUUUUAAGCCCAAUAAUUAAAUUUGUAUUCGGGGAAGAGAAGUAGAAAACAGUUGGUUUUGGGCCUCUUGUAGGCCCAAUAGGCAUGUGGCCCAAAUCUUAAAAC